ensembl:snoRNA small nucleolar RNA SNORA2/SNORA34 family
CUGGCCCUGAGUCAAGGCCAGCAGCUUUCCUGAUGCUGUUGGUUUCAAGCAGGAGCCUAAAGAGAUGUUUUUCUAUGGUCUGUUGGCCAUUUCAGAACUUGGGCAGUGAAAUAGUCAAUUCAUUAGAAAGAAAUAGCU